UGGCUGUCUAUUAGCCGAUAUUGGUGUGAGAACGCGGAAUGUAACCGGUUAUCCUGGUGGAGUGACUGGAGUGUAUUCUCAUUGAGUGAGUCGAGUCACUCUCGGAACUUGAUGAAAACGAAAGUUCCAGCCAGGACACGUAGUAAGAGCCGUGUUCGACCGCAACAAGCUCCACCGACAGCGACCUCGGCCAGUCCAGGUCGAAUCGGUCUGGCGACGGUGGCGGGCCCAGCACGUGACGCGCUAGACCGUCCACUUCCUUCGACCAGCCUUCGGAGAAUAUCUCAACCACGUCCUCCCACUGAAAUUUAGGAGGUUGUGGGCAAAUGAAGAUAGGUGACAAUCCACCAGCAUACACCGCUAUUCUGUUCUGCGUCCGGCACAAAUGUCGCAAGUCUGGAGCCACGGUGAUGUUGUUCAGAAGUGUGAAGUUGUCUA